rnacentral:rRNA from 1 species
GGGGUGUUAGGGCACGACACCGGAGAGGGAGCCUGAGAAACGGCUACCACAUCCAAGGAUGGCAGCAGGCGCGCAAAUUACCCAAUCCCGACACGGGGAGGUAGUGACAAUAAAUAACAAUACGGGGUUCUUUAGGAUCUCGUAAUUGGAAUGAGUACAAUUUAAAUCUCUUAACGAGGAACAAUUGGAGGGCAAGUCUGGUGCCAGCAGCCGCGGUAAUUCCAGCUCCAAUAGCGUAUAUUAAAGUUGUUGCAGUUAAAAAGCUCGUAGUUGAAUUUCGGGGUCAGUAGGUUGGUCAUGCCACUGGUAUGUACUGGUCUCACUGAUUCCUCCUUCCUGAUGAGCCGUAAUGCCAUUAAUUUGGUGUUGCGAGGAAUCUGGACUGUUACUUUGAAAAAAUUAGAGUGUUUAAAGCAGGCUAACGCUUGAAUACAUUAGCAUGGAAUAAUGAAAUAGGACGUUCGAUCUUAUUUUGUUGGUUUCUAAGAUUGACGUAAUGAUUAAUAGGGAUAGUUGGGGGCAUUAGUACUCAAUUGUCAGAGGUGAAAUUCUUGGAUUUAUUGAAGACUAACUACUGCGAAAGCAUUUGCCAAGGAUGUUUUCAUUAGUCAAGAACGAAAGUUAGGGGAUCGAAGACGAUCAGAUACCGUCGUAGUCUUAACCAUAAACUAUGCCGACUAGGGAUCGGAUGAU